rnacentral:piRNA from 1 species
UUGAUAAGCCUCACCUACUGACCGCCC